rnacentral:piRNA from 1 species
UGAACAUGCUCUGUCUUGCUGGUUCCAUGCC